GCGAGCGGCGGAUGGGUGAGUAACACGUGGGGAACCUGCCCCUAAGUCUGGGAUACCAUUUGGAAACAGGUGCUAAUACCGGAUAAUAAAGCAGAUCGCAUGAUCAGCUUUUGAAAGGCGGCGUAAGCUGUCGCUAAGGGAUGGCCCCGCGGUGCAUUAGCUAGUUGGUAAGGUAACGGCUUACCAAGGCGACGAUGCAUAGCCGAGUUGAGAGACUGAUCGGCCACAUUGGGACUGAGACACGGCCCAAACUCCUACGGGAGGCAGCAGUAGGGAAUCUUCCACAAUGGACGCAAGUCUGAUGGAGCAACGCCGCGUGAGUGAAGAAGGUUUUCGGAUCGUAAAGCUCUGUUGUUGGUGAAGAAGGAUAGAGGUAGUAACUGGCCUUUAUUUGACGGUAAUCAACCAGGAAAGUCACGGCUAACUACGUGCCAGCAGCCGCGGUAAUACGUAGGUGGCAAGCGUUGGUCCGGAUUUUAUUGGGCGUAAAGCGAGCGCAGGCGGAAAAAUAAGUUCUAAUGUGAAAGCCCCUCGGCCUUAACCCGAGGAACUGCAUCGGAAAACUGUUUUUUCUUGAGUUGCAGAAAGAGG
rnacentral:rRNA from 1 species